CGGACGGGUGAGUAACGCGUGGAUAACCUGCCUCACACUGGGGGAUAACAGUUAGAAAUGGCUGCUAAUACCGCAUAAGCGCACAGUACCGCAUGGUACGGUGUGAAAAACCCAGGUGGUGUGAGAUGGAUCCGCGUCUGAUUAGCCAGUUGCGGGUAACGGCCCACCAAGGCGACGAUCAGUAGCCGACCUGAGAGGGUGACCGGCCACAUUGGGACUGAGACACGGCCCAA
rnacentral:rRNA from 1 species